UCUAACCGAAUCGUUCAGGUUUAUCCCGAAAGGAUCUGAUAAUUCUGGGUUAAGUUGCAUUAAGUUGGAGUGUGGAUUCGUAAAUAAUACUUAAGUCGCCCCAACGGAGCUCAUGAAUUAUUUCUUACGAAUCUACACCUCCUUGUACAUAAUUCUUGAACAAUGUUGGUCACCUUGCGCAGAUGUGCUAUAUACAAGACCUAAGUAUUGUAACACCCGUUUUGAUGAUGUGCAGUAUAACAGCCCAGUCUGACCUGUCUUUUUGCACAAGCUAUGAAUAGGACUAUGGACUUAAACCUUCAGGACUGAUAUCCAACGUCAGAAUAGUACGCCUUCUGUUCAUUCAAGAAUCCUAAACUUCAGAACAAAUGCCCCAUGACAG